CUGGCUUAGUCCCUUUGUUUCCGAGCGUAAGAGCACUGGGAUUAAUAUAGUUUCCAGGCUGAGGGAAAACACAGGAAUGUGAUGUUGAAAAAGGACUUUUUUCUUUUCCUUACGCUUCUCUCCUCCCUUUAUUUCUUCCCACCUUUUUCUCUCCUCUUUUCCUUCUCCUUUUUCUUCUUCCUCUUGCCUGGAUUCAGUCCCAGCAAUGCCAGGACAACCUCAGUUUUGAUCCAAACCAAACUCAAACAACAGCAGCCACUGGAAAUCAAGGAAACUUCACUAAGAAUUUAACAGAUCAGCAAAACACCGCCUCCUUCCCAUUUCAGCAUGCAUUCACAGUGUAGGACAAACUGAAGAAAUGAACAGCAAAGUCAAGGGGAAAGCCCACAGUGACCAUGAACUCAGGAUUCUGCUGCUGCGGCUACCCAGAGAAAUGCUGAGAAAGGGUAAUCCCCAAAAAGAAACACUCUGAAAUUGUCUCUGAAAUGUCAACAAGCUCACAGGUUUAAUCUGAAGUUGAGGUAUGUGUAUACGUUUUUAAAAAAAUAAAUAAAAAUAAAAGUUACCUGA